UCUGGUGUUUUAGUUGAUGACACACUCCCGUUCCCAUGCCGAACACGGUCGAUAAGGUUAUCAACGGCGACAAUACUUGGACCGAGAGGUCCCGGAAAGAUAGCUUUACGCCAGUU
rnacentral:rRNA from 1 species